rnacentral:rRNA from 1 species
UGCAGUCGAACGCUUGCUUUCCUCCCGAGUGCUUGCACUCAAUUGGAAAGAGGAGUGGCGGACGGGUGAGUAACACGUGGGUAACCUACCCAUCAGAGGGGGAUAACACUUGGAAACAGGUGCUAAUACCGCAUAACAGUUUAUGCCGCAUGGCAUAAGAGUGAAAGGCGCUUUCGGGUGUCGCUGAUGGAUGGACCCGCGGUGCAUUAGCUAGUUGGUGAGGUAACGGCUCACCAAGGCCACGAUGCAUAGCCGACCUGAGAGGGUGAUCGGCCACACUGGGACUGAGACACGGCCCAGACUCCUACGGGAGGCAGCAGUAGGGAAUCUUCGGCAAUGGACGAAAGUCUGACCGAGCAACGCCGCGUGAGUGAAGAAGGUUUUCGGAUCGUAAAACUCUGUUGUUAGAGAAGAACAAGGACGUUAGUAACUGAACGUCCCCUGACGGUAUCUAACCAGAAAGCCACGGCUAACUACGUGCCAGCAGCCGCGGUAAUACGUAGGUGGCAAGCGUUGUCCGGAUUUAUUGGGCGUAAAGCGAGCGCAUGCGGUUUCUUAAGUCUGAUGUGAAAGCCCCCGGCUCAACCGGGGA